rnacentral:rRNA from 1 species
AAUAUUGCACAAUGGGCGCAAGCAUGAUGCAGCCAUGCCGCGUGUAUGAAGAAGGCCUUCAGGUUGUAAAGUACUUUCACCCCCCCAAGAAGGGAGUAAAGUUAAUACCUUUGCUCAUUGACGUUACCCGCAGAAGAAGCACCGGCUAACUCCGUGCCAGCAGCCGCGGUAAUACGGAGGGUGCAAGCGUUAAUCGGAAUUACUGGGCGUAAAGCGCACGCAGGCGGUUUGUUAAGUCAGAUGUGAAAUCCCCGGGCUCAACCUGGGAACUGCAUCUGAUACUGGCAAGCUUGAGUCUGUAGAGGGGGGUAGAAUUCCAGGUGUAGCGGUGAAAUGCGUAGAUAUAGGGAGGAAUACCGGUGGCGAAGGCGGCCCCCUGGACGAUUUUUUCGUCAGGUGCGAAAG